AUACGGAGGGGGCUAGCGUUGUUCGGAAUUACUGGGCGUAAAGGGCGCGUAGGCGGACCAUCAAGUCAGGGGUGAAAGGCCUGGGCUCAACCCGGGAACUGCCUUUGAAACUGAAGGUCUAGAGGCCGAGAGAGGUUAGCGGAAUUCCCAGUGUAGAGGUGAAAUUCGUAGAUAUUGGGAAGAACACCGGUGGCGAAGGCGGCUACCUGGACCGGUACUGACGCUGAGGUGCGAAAGCGUGGGGAGCAAACAGGAUUAGAUACCCCAGUAGUCC
rnacentral:rRNA from 1 species